rnacentral:rRNA from 1 species
GACGAACGCUGGCGGCGUGCCUAAUACAUGCAAGUCGAACGCUUCUUUCCUCCCGAGUGCUUGCACUCAACUGGAAAGAGGAGUGGCGGACGGGUGAGUAACACGUGGGUAACCUACCCAUCAGAGGGGGAUAACACUUGGAAACAGGUGCUAAUACCGCAUAACAGUUUAUGCCGCAUGGCAUAAGAGUGAAAGGCGCUUUCGGGUGUCGCUGAUGGAUGGACCCGCGGUGCAUUAGCUAGUUGGUGAGGUAACGGCUCACCAAGGCCACGAUGCAUAGCCGACCUGAGAGGGUGAUCGGCCACACUGGGACUGAGACACGGCCCAGACUCCUACGGGAGGCAGCAGUAGGGAAUCUUCGGCAAUGGACGAAAGUCUGACCGAGCAACGCCGCGUGAGUGAAGAAGGUUUUCGGAUCGUAAAACUCUGUUGUUAGAGAAGAACAAGGACGUUAGUAACUGAACGUCCCCUGACGGUAUCUAACCAGAAAGCCACGGCUAACUACGUG